rnacentral:rRNA from 1 species
UACGAAGGGGGCUAGCGUUGUUCGGAUUUACUGGGCGUAAAGCGCACGUAGGCGGAUUGUUAAGUCGGGGGUGAAAUCCCAGGGCUUAACCCUGGAACUGCCUUCGAUACUGGCAAUCUCGAGUCCGGAAGAGGUGAGUGGAACUCCUAGUGUAGAGGUGGAAUUCGUAGAUAUUAGGAAGAACACCAGUGGCGAAGGCGGCUCACUGGUCCGGUACUGACGCUGAUGUGCGAAAGCGUGGGGAGCAAACAGG